rnacentral:sRNA from 1 species
UGGUAGAUGCACCCUGAUUAAAUUUUAACCUCAGUCGAUUUAUUGGCUGAGGUUCUUUAUU